rnacentral:rRNA from 1 species
ACGUGAACGGGGCGAAGCCUGCUCCGCCCUGCCGCGCUGUGUGAAGAAGGUCUUCGGAUUGUAAAGCACCCUAAGCUGGGAGGAAGGGCAUUAACCUAAUACGUUAGUGUUUUGACGUUACCGACAGAAUAAGCACCGGCUAACUCUGUGCCAGCAGCCGCGGUAAUACAGAGGGUGCAAGCGUUAAUCGGAAUUACUGGGCGUAAAGCGCGCGUAGGUGGUUUGUUAAGUUGGAUGUGAAAUCCCCGGGCUCAACCUGGGAACUGCAUUCAAAACUGACUGACUAGAGUAUGGUAGAGGGUGGUGGAAUUUCCUGUGUAGCGGUGAAAUGGGUAGAUAUAGGAAGGAACACCAGUGGCGAAGGCGACCACCUGGACUAAUACUGACACUGAGGUGCGAAAG